rnacentral:rRNA from 1 species
UACGUAGGGGGCGAGCGUUGUCCGGAUUUAUUGGGCGUAAAGAGCGUGUAGGCGGCCAGGUAGGUCUGCUGUGAAAACUCGAGGCUCAACCUCGAGACGUCGGCGGAAACCAUCUGGCUAGAGUCCGGAAGAGGAGAGUGGAAUUCCUGGUGUAGCGGUGGAAUGCGCAGAUAUCAGGAGGAACACCAAUAGCGAAGGCGGCUCGCUGGGCCAUUCCUGACGCUGAGACGCGAAAGCUAGGGGGAGCGAACAGG